rnacentral:lncRNA from 1 species
AGGAUGCCAGGGAUGAUGGGAAGCCUGUUCUUGUUUAUCGGUUUGUACGGAACUUCACCCGCGGUAGAGUACGGCCUGAGAAUUUUGUUCCAGCACCGGUGUGAGGAAAACAUCUGAGCCCAUGAAUUGCCAGACCCUGGAUACCUGAGACACAUCCACUUGCUUCUCAGGUUUGGAGUGCAUAAUGAGGAGAAAUAAAAACAGAAAGAUCUCCAGAAAGAAGCCAUGGGUGGAGAACAGAGGGCGACUAGAUUAAAUGGAAAGAAUGCCCAGGCAUCCCAUUGCCUCCCUUUGACGUUCCAGAACUUCAUCAAGACAGUGAUGAGCUACAUGUACACCUGGAGGAGAGUUCAGGAUCAAGCUCAGAAGCGCACAGCUGCCAGCAAGCAGUCUACUACUGAACUGCACCAUCUCUCCAGCCUGUGCUUACUCUUGAAUAGCCCCAAAGUAGUCAAUGGGCUAUUUGGUACUGGACAACCAAUUGGAGUGUUGUUUGCGGGGGAGGACCACCUCUCCAGGUAGAAUCUAAACAUCAGAAAAUCAACAACCCAGUUAAAAUAAUCUAGAGCACUAACCAGAGCGUUCUCAGAAGAAGCACUACAAACGGCUAAGAAACACGAGACUGCUCAACAUCCUUUGCCAUCAGGGAAACACAGAAGCUCACUUUUCAGUUUUCAUCUUUCUGGAGUCAGAAUGGUUAUCGUCAAGAAUGCCAGUGACAUGGAUGUAGAGGACGGAUUCCUUCAUUGUCUAAGUCUCUGGAAAUAGUGCAGAAGAGUAGUCAGGGACUAAAAGAUGGAAGACAGAAAGGGCUGCAAAGUUCCAUCCUAGAGACUCAAUACAGCCAUUGCAAUGAUGAACUCACAAAAACUGCAUUUACCUGAACUUAGCCUGCUCAAGACAUUGAAAGUGUUUCAAAGUAGCUUUUCCUGUUGUGAAUGUACCUCUCAGCUAGUCUGGUUUCUGGUUCAGAGCUCUUAGGCACAGAGUUGUCUUGAACAUUUGCUUACAGGCACUUGUGUAGAUAUCAGCUGCUUUUUUUUGUUAAAUCUCUGAAAUAAAUGCCUAGGCGUUCAAUGGCAAUGUUAUAUCAGUAUGUAUUUAGCUUAGUUUUAAAAUAAGAAACUGUCAAAUACUUUUGUAGAAUUACUGGACCAUUUUACACCCCUGCCAACAAAGUAAGAUUGAUCCAGCUCCCCACAUUCUCAUAAACAUUUGUUUUUGUUUCUUUAAGAAGACAAGUUAACCAUUCCAUUUAUUGAGAAUUUACUUACCAUUCAGUGCAUUGCUUAGAUAUGUAGUAUUCAGUUUUUAGUACACAUACAAGGUUGUGUAUCGAUUACUACUAAUUCCAGAACAUUUCCAUUACCAUAGAAAAAGAAACCCAAUAUUCAUUUUCAUCUCUCCUCUAUGGACUUACCUAAUCUAGAUAUACCAAAUAAAUGGAAUUUUUAUAAAAUAU